AACGAACGCUGGCGGCGUGCUUCAUACAUGCAAGUCGAGCGAGAAAGCUUCCUUCGGGAAGUGAGUACAGCGGCGCACGGGUGAGUAACACGUGGGUAAUCUGCCUUCGGGUUCGGGAUAACCUCGGGAAACUGGGGCUAAUACCGGAUGAGACCACGAGGUCUUCGGGCCUUGCGGAAAAGAUGGCCUCUUCAUGAAAGCUAUCGCCUGGAGAUGAGCCCGCGGCCCAUUAGCUUGUUGGUGAGGUAACGGCUCACCAAGGCACCGAUGGGUAGCUGGUCUGAGAGGAUGAUCAGCCACACUGGAACUGAGACACGGUCCAGACUCCUACGGGAGGCAGCAGUAGGGAAUCUUGGGCAAUGGGGGAAACCCUGACCCAGCAACGCCGCGUGAGGGAUGAAGGCCUUCGGGUCGUAAACCUCUGUCGGGAGGGAAGAACGGUUUCCGUUCGAAUAGGUCGGAAGCCUGACGGUACCUCCAAAGGAAGCACCGGCUAACUCCGUG
rnacentral:rRNA from 1 species